UACUGAGUUAUACAACUCCCAACCCCUGUGAACAUACUACUGUUGCCUCGGCGGCGCUGCUGUACAGCGGCCCGCCGGCGGACCGAAACGCUAUCUAUAUACACUGUAUCUCUGAGUACAUAACUAAAUACGUUAAAACUUUCAACAACGGAUCUCUUGGUUCUGGCAUCGAUGAAGAACGCAGCGAAAUGCGAUACGUAAUGUGAAUUGCAGAAUUCCGUGAAUCAUCGAAUCUUUGAACGCACAUUGCGCCCGGUAGUAUUCUACCGGGCAUGCCUAUUCGAGCGUCAUUUCGACCCUUACGCCCCUGUUGCGUAGUGUUGGGACUCUGCGUCGCGGCGCAGCUCCUGAAAAUCAUCGGCGGCGCGCAGGCCCACGCUAGGUGUAGUAUGUACCAUUCUCGCCUCGGUAGUGGUCUGAGCUGACAGCCGGAAAACUAUUUUUUUUAGUGGUUGACCUCGGAUUAGGUAGGACUACCCGCUGAACUUAAGCAUAUCAAUAAGCGGAGGAAAAGAAACCAACAGGGAUUGCCCUAGUAACGGCGAGUGAAGCGGCAACAGCUCAAAUUUGAAAUCUGGCCCUAGCGGUCCGAGUUGU
rnacentral:rRNA from 1 species